rnacentral:rRNA from 1 species
AACGAACGCUGGCGGCAUGCCUAACACAUGCAAGUCGAACGAGACCUUCGGGUCUAGUGGCGCACGGGUGCGUAACGCGUGGGAACCUGCCCUUAGGCUCGGAAUAACUCCCCGAAAGGGGUGCUAAUACCGGAUAAUGUCUUCCGACCAAAGAUUUGUCGCGUUUGGAUGGGCCCGCGUUGGAUUAGCUGGUUGGUAGGGUAAAAGCCUACCAAGGCGACGAUCCAUAGCUGGUCUGAGAGGAUGAUCAGCCACACUGGGCCUGAGACACGGCCCAGACUCCUACGGGAGGCAGCAGUGGGGAAUAUUGGACAAUGGGCGAAAGCAUGAUCCAGCAAUGCCGCGUGAGUGAUGAAGGCCUUAGGGUUGUAAAGCUCUUUUACCCGGGAUGAUAAUGACAGUACCGGGAGAAUAAGCUCCGGCUAACUCCGUG